rnacentral:rRNA from 1 species
UACGUAGGGUGCGAGCGUUGUCCGGAAUUAUUGGGCGUAAAGAGCUCGUAGGCGGUCUGUCGCGUCGAUCGUGAAAACUUGGGGCUUAACCCUGAGCUUGCGGUCGAUACGGGCAUGACUGGAGUUCGGCAGGGGAGACUGGAAUUCCUGGUGUAGCGGUGAAAUGCGCAGAUAUCGGGAAGAACACCCGUGGCGAAGACGGCUCUCUGGGACGGUACUGACGCUGAGACGCGAAAGCGUGGGGAGCGAACAGG